rnacentral:misc_RNA from 1 species
UUUUCCUGUGSUGCAUACCCAUUGCGAGGGCAUUCGGUUGGCUARAACGGUCCCAUCUCCRCCUUGUGUCGGCGUUCCGUGCGGGCGUUCGACACGGGGUGGAUCYCACGGCUUGCGUCGUGUUUCGCGCCGCAUUCACCUUAAUCGGUGUUUGGGUAGGCGACCCACGACGUGAUGCCCGUUAUCUCGGGUACGGAACACCGGGUGGGUUCGAGGCAUUGUCCUUUGAUCACCACACGAAUGCGUUCUACGCUUUAUGCGAACGACGGCCGMACACGAUCCCCGGCGGAGCACUCGCUGCUCGGUCGAAGUCGUGUCGGCGUCGGUGAGGGAUGC